rnacentral:rRNA from 1 species
AGUGAACGCUGGCGGUAGGCCUAACACAUGCAAGUCGAACGGCAGCACGGUAAGAGCUUGCUCUUACGGGUGGCGAGUGGCGGACGGGUGAGGAAUACAUCGGAAUCUACUUUUUCGUGGGGGAUAACGUAGGGAAACUUACGCUAAUACCGCAUACGACCUACGGGUGAAGGCAGGGGAUCUUCGGACCUUGCGCGAUUGAAUGAGCCGAUGUCGGAUUAGCUAGUUGGCGGGGUAAAGGCCCACCAAGGCGACGAUCCGUAGCUGGUCUGAGAGGAUGAUCAGCCACACUGGAACUGAGACACGGUCCAGACUCCUACGGGAGGCAGCAGUGGGGAAUAUUGGACAAUGGGCGCAAGCCUGAUCCAGCCAUACCGCGUGGGUGAAGAAGGCCUUCGGGUUGUAAAGCCCUUUUGUUGGGAAAGAAAAGCAGCAGGUUAAUACCCCGCUGUUCUGACGGUACCCAAAGAAUAAGCACCGGCUAACUUCGUG